CAGUAGCCGCGGUAAUACGGAGGGUGCAAGCGUUAAUCGGAAUUACUGGGCGUAAAGCGCACGCAGGCGGUCUGUCAAGUCAGAUGUGAAAUCCCCGGGCUUAACCUGGGAACUGCAUUUGAAACUGGCAGGCUAGAGUCUUGUAGAGGGGGGUAGAAUUCCAGGUGUAGCGGUGAAAUGCGUAGAGAUCUGGAGGAAUACCGGUGGCGAAGGCGGCCCCCUGGACAAAGACUGACGCUCAGGUGCGAAAGCGUGGGGAGCAAACAGGAUUAGAUACCCCGGUAGUCCCUGUCUCUUAUCC
rnacentral:rRNA from 1 species